GAUGAAGAACGUAGCGAAAUGGGAUACGUAAUGUGAAUUGCAAAUUCAGUGAAUCAUCGAGUCUUUGAACGCACAUUGCGCCCCCUGGUAUUCCGGGGGGCAUGCCUGUCCGAGCGUCAUUGCUGCCCUCAAGCACGGCUUGUGUGUUGGGCCCCGACCUCCGAUCCCGGGGGACGGGCCCGAAAGGCAGCGGCGGCACCGCGUCCGGUCCUCGAGCGUAUGGGGCUUUGUCACCCGCUCUGUAGGCCCGGCCGGCGCUUGCCGAUCAACCCAAAUUUUUUAUCCAGGUUGACCUCGGAUCAGGUAGGGAUACCCGCUGAACUUAAGCAUAUCAAUAAGCGGAGGA
rnacentral:misc_RNA from 1 species